rnacentral:rRNA from 1 species
AUGAGGAGGAAUGGCACAGUUCUUGAGUGGAACUAUCAACGAGCCCAGGCAAGGGGACGGGCUACUUAUCCAAUCCUAAGACUUGUAUAUCAACGACCAAAUGCAUACAGUGGAUGGCGCCGAUCGACGAGCGAAGUUGCUAAAUUAAAUUCAGAUGCUGCUUUCGACGCUGACAGCGGUCAAAGCUGGGCUGGCGCGAUUGCUAGAGAUCACAGAGGGCAUGUAUUCUUGUCAGUCUGCAAGGAGUUGCCGCGAUCUACAAGUGUGGAAGAGGCUGAGGGACGUGCCACACUCCCCGGACUGCAUGCACUUGCAGCAGUGUACAGGGGAAAAAUUCAGUUAGAGGUGGACUGCAAGUGGAUAGCAGAUGCACUGAAGAAAAAUGCCCCAAACAGGUAUCUGAAUAAUGCCCUUGCUACGUUCUCUGCUUUCAAGGUGACUCACUCCGCGAGGGGAGGUAACAAGUGGCACAUGAAUUAG